rnacentral:tRNA from 1 species
GGAGCGAUGGUGUAGUUGGUUAUCACGUCUGUCUAACAUCUGAAUGUUCACAGACGGUCCUCAGUUCGAACCUGGGUCGCUUCA